UUAACGGCCGUUUUCAAUAACCUAUCUAUCCCUAGUUUCGGUUACUAAAGAUAGACAAAUCUAUAUUUUUGUCCUUACUUACGUUCCAAUAACCUAUCGACGGGCAGCAGUUCCUAUCGGAUUUAUCUAUCCAUCGUCGGGAGGACGGAUAGCCUGCUAAAGAUAGAACGCUCAUACAAAUCGUGCUUACUUCCGUUUCAAUAUGAGUUUUAAGUAACUCUCCGGUAGGCGGCGCUAUCUCUAGUAUGGGCAUUCGCUUAUCUGUCAAAAUCGGCCGGUUACAUAUUUAUCUUUCGAAAGUAAAUCGCUAUAAUUUAAUAAUUGUUUCUCUUCAUAUUGGCAUAUUGUAGCAGUGAUGAUAGUGAUAUGGAAUUAUUUCAAAUGAUAAUGGAUUGUGAUGCAGAUAGUGAUAGUGAGGCCGAUAUCAUAUGGUUAGGAAAAUAAAGAUCGUCUGAAUUACAUGGCGAAGAUCAAUAAUUACGAAUUUGACUAUAGAUUUCUGAGCAAAGGUGUUGUGAAUGAAUUGAUUAAUUUAAUGAGACCAUAUUUGAGUGUAACGUCAAAAAGAUUCAAAUAUAGGAGAGGAAUUUAGAAAUAGAAAAAGAGUAUUUUGAAUGUGUAAUUUGUGUGCAAUGCAUCAUUGAUGUUUCAAAAUGUUGUUGCUUGAUGGCCUGGGUCUACUCAUGAUACAACUAUAAUUAACCAUUCCGAUUGAAAAGAUGCAUUGGUGUUUGUAAAAGAAGACUCCCUGUAUAUCAUUGAAAAGUAGAUUAAAACUAGAAAACAUGCAAGCUGUUAUUAUAGCUGCCAUGCUGCAUAAUAUCGUCAGAAGUAUGAAUUUAGAAGAAUUAGAAUCAGAAAUUUCAGUCGCAGAUACAUUACAGGAAAAUAAUAUAAUUGUUCGUAACAAUUUUUCAAAACUUACAUCUGAAAUACAACUAUGUACUUAUAAAUAAUUGCUUCCAAAGAUAAUUUAUAAAAUAAACUCCAAAGAUAA